AACGAUGAAGCAGAGCAUGCAGGGCCCGCGCAGGAAGCAGUUCCGGCUGCGCGGCGGCGGCGGCACCUUCCCCCGCGGGCGGCGGCGAUCCCGGCUUAGGCUCCUUGCCUCCUUCGAGAGCAGAAUCGUUAGGGGCUGGAAGGCACCUCUGGAGAUCAUCUCGACCUACCCUCCUGCCAAGGCAGGGUCACCUGGAGCAGAUAACACACGAAUGCAUCCAGAUGGGUUUGGAGUGUCCUGAGAGAGAGACGGCACGGCUUGCCUGUUCUAAUGCUCUGUCACCCUCAACGCGGCGUUCUUGUUUGAGGUGGAACUUACUCUGUUUUACUUUAUGCCCUUUAUCAUGUCAUUGGGCAGCGCUGAAAAGUCUGGCACCGCUGUGUUAGCAUCGGUCUUGAAGAUAUUUAUACCCAUUACUGAGAACCCCUUCCACUCUUCUCCAAACCAGAUGGGCCCAGUUCCUGCAGUCUCUCCUUACAACAGAGAUGCUCCAGGCCCAUCAUCGUCUUCGUGGCAUCUGCUGGACCCCCUCCGUUAGGUCAUUGCCAUAUAUAUACACACAUAAGACGUAUAAAAUACAUGCAUCUUUUUGAGGAACUGAAAUAAAAAUCUUUUGUGCUACACUUUGUAGGCAAAUGUCAGAAGACCCCUUCCCAUUGGUCUCAGAUUAUGUGCAGGACAGUGGCCGAGGUUUUGCAGUGGCAAAGCAACACAAGUUUAGAGACCAUCAAGAGCAGUUUUCCAAGCUCUCUUCUGUCAACAUAAUUUUCCCACCAGCACUUUCCAGAAAAUAGUUGUUUUCUGCUGUACAUUGUACAUCUGGAAACAGGGCUCAUAUGGGACCUCUGACCUGCUAUGCCCUCCUGCAGACACUCACCUCUAACUGCAGUGUGUUGAACCUUGAUGCAGGUGCCCUGGUGUGUAAAUCCUUGCUGGAUGCUGCAUUAAUUAAGACUCUGCUUAGUGCCUAGCAAAAGCAAUUUGUUUCAGCGUUCAGUUCUAAACAGUUGACUUAGUUGUAUAGUCUUAGAUAUGUAGUUUAAAUAUAUGUGCAAUUUUGUCUUUAGUAAAAGGUGUCUGGGGAAGGAGAAGUCAAGUUACAGCUAGAGUACAUGUGGCUCAGUACUAAUAUUAAAUAACAAAGGGUAGGAGAAGAAAUGCACAGUAUUUUAUAUUGCAUAGCACAUGUUUUGGCCUUUUGCCCAGGGACAAGUUAUAUUAGGAUUAAAAUACCCAUGCUGCUAUUAUUUUAGCUUGUUACCUCUAUUGUUAGUCUUCAGCAGCUCUUUAAAAAUGUUUCCUAUGAGAAAAGUACUAAAUAUACCUUUGGAUAAAAGCAGAGCAAUAGAAUAUUUUGUUUGGAUGAGCUUCAUCAAUAUAAAGCACAGCAAAUCUUUACCAAAAAAUUUGGCAAGGCCUUUUCGGCUCUGUUGGAAGAAUGGGUUGAAAGACAGCUAUAAGUAACUCUUGGUAAGACUGUGUGAACAGCAGGCCAGUCAUCCUCAUAUAUGGACUGAGUUUAACAGUGCCUGCUCUGCACUUGUGUAGCCCAGGUGUUGCUUCAGGGCUCCUCCUGAAACAUGGUAAGUUAGCACGAUAAUGUACAUAAAUUCAUUCUUUGUGCCUUAGCCAUUGGUUUCUGCCUGUCCCAGCUGCCUGCCAGUGGUGGCUCACACUCUCCUUCCUCCCACAGACUGCAAAAUUUUAUUUCAGUAAGGAAAAACAAAAACAACAUUAAAAGAAGAUGAAAGUCCAAAUCAAAUCUUCAAACCAAUCAGAACUCAGAAUAAAUGCUGGCUGUCUUCACCUUUUCCAAUGUGUGUCCUUCCCACACACGUUGCAGUACUUCAAAAACUGCUCCCGAGUAGAUUCAGAGCUCAUAUCAGGAGCUGCUUCCAUGGGUCCAGAGCUCGUGUCAGGAGCCUGCUCCAGAUUAAUGUUCUGAUGGGAUCAUGUGUGCCUUUGGACAUCCACCUGCCCAGGCAUGGAUCCUACAUGGGCUGCAGUGAUUCUUUACAAUGGACUCCUCCACAGGUCACGGUCUCUUAGACUCAAGUUCACAUUGGAGUUCCAGCUUGUCCAGUAUGGCAGCACAGGAGCACAGGCUCCCUCCAGCCCAGGCAUUUUGCAAUGGCUGUCACCAAAGUGUUCCCAGGCACAACACACUGAGGUGACCAGCAGUGCAGCCAGCAGCAAAAUCAGGGCAGCCACUAACAAGGACUGAGUUCCAACAGACAGACAGGAAAGCGAUCCCCAUGGGAAGCACAGCAGCCUGCCAAUUAAUAGCUAAACAGCAGUAACAGCUACAAAUUCAAUGUAGCACAUUCAAUCAAAUCUGCCAUUAUUUCAACCCUUCAUGCACUACACUGGGUGCCAAAACAACUGACAUGGUAUAACCUCAGCUGUUCUUUUUUUCAUUUUAAUGACUUGUUUUUCUUGAGUUUUAUUUCUUCUCUUUUUGUUUCAUUUUCAUUUUUGUCUUUUCCUUGCAAUUCAUUCUUACUACUACUAUUACUAUUUCUAACUUAUGAAACUGCUGUUAGUUACCUCAGCCCAUGAGUUUAUUUCUUGGUUUUGCACUUCCAGUUCUUUCCCUGUCCCACUAGCAUGGGGGAGUGAAAGGGUCUAAGCAGCUGUGUUUUUCUUAGUUGCCAGCUAAGGUUAAACCACAACAAGUGUGUUUGUUGUAAGCAUAUUUGGUAUGAUUAUUUUCCCUUCAAGUAGAUGACACAAUUACAGAGUCUGGAAAAGACCUCUGAGAUCAUCAAAUACAACUUUUUACUAAACACCACCAUAUCAACUAGACCAUGGCACUAAGUGCCACAUCCAGCUUUCCCUUAAACACCUCCAGGAAUAGUGAUUCCACCACUUCCCUGGACAGCUCAUUCCAAGGUCUAAUCACCUUUUCUGUGAAGGAAUUCUUCUUGGUGUCCAAUCUAAAUCUUUCCUGAUGCAACUUAAGACUAUGUCCUCUUGUCCUGUAACUGGUUCCCUGGGAGAAGAGAUCCCACCUGCUACAGCCUUGGGCCAGGGAGUUGCAGGGAAUGAUAAGGUACCCCCACCCCAGGCCUCCUUUUUUCCAGGUUAAAUGCACCCAGAUUCUUCACCUGCUUGUCAUCAGACUUGUGCUCCAGACCCUUUGCCAGCUUUUUUCCCUUCUCUGGACAUGCUCCAGCCCCUCAAUGUCCUUCCUUGAAUUGAGGGAUCCAGAGCUGGAUACAGCGCUCACAGCGCUCAAGGUGUGAUCUCAGUCCAGGGGCAUGGUCACUGCCCUGCUCCUGCUGCCCCACUGUUGUUGAUACAGGCCAGGUGUCCUUGGCCUUCUUGGCCACUUGGGCACAGCUGGUUCAUAUUCAGCUGCUGUCUGCCAGAACCCCCCAGGUGCUUUACAAACACAGAGCUCUGCCCCAGCAUGCAGCAACGCGGGGGGUUUUGUGGUCUUGUUGAACCUCAGAUCAUUGGCCUCAACCCAUCAAUCCAGCUUUCCAGAUCCCUCUGCAGAGACUUCCUGCCUUGUAGCAGAACAACACACCCACCCAAACUGGUGUUGUCUGAAUUUGCUAAUGGUAGAUUCAAUCCCCUUAUCCAGACCAUCAGUGAAGAUAUUAAACAGAACUGGGCCCAGCACUGAUGCUGGGGGACACCACCAGUGACCAGAGGCCAGCCGGAUCCAGCACCAUCCACCACCAUUCUCUGGGCUGGCCAUCCAAACAGUUUUUCACCCAGCCAAGAGUGCUCCUGUCCAAGCCAUGGGCUUCCAGCUUUUCUGGUGAGAUGGUAUCAAAGGCAUUGCUGAAAUCCAGACAGACGACACCCACAGCCUUUCUCUCCUUCCCCUGGUGAAUCUCCUGAUUGUUACAGUAUUUCUGAAGUUGCUGGAUGUAUAAAAUUUUUAUCACUGUAGCAGGCAAGUUCCAAGGUAAUUAUGCUAUCAGAAUGCCAUGGGGACCAGGGCACCAGGGAGGACAGGACAGGGCUUCACCAGAUGAGAAAUACAGGGAAACAGAAUGUGCUUCUGGUCUAUGCAAGGGUUUUAACACUGAGUGUCACUGUUGCUUCAUGGAAGGCAAGCACAGUAACUGCCUUUUGCAGUGUAAAAGCAGAAUGAAAUAUUACAUGGCCAAAUAUCAGCUGUGAAAUCUUCACUGCAUAAUGUCAGAAGGCAGAUGUAACUAACGGUUCAUUUCUUCAUUAGCACUACUUAUAUUUCAUGAAAUUAAAAGUCAUAGAACCAGUAAUGUGAGAAAUGUGCCUGAAAGCUACUACAACUUAGUCUCGGAAUUAAGCAGUAAAGUCCCCUCUAUUUGUGAUAGUAAGGGUUUAUUUUACACAUAGCAAUAGAUUACAACACUUUUCAUUGUUAUCUCUGUGCAUAUUUAAAUAGACCACAAAAUCUGGUGACUGAAGGUAAGUAUGAUAUUUAGGCUUGAGCUGCAAGGGAACACAAGAAAUUUUUAAGUUUCUAUGUUGUAUCUAGUCCUGAUACCCCUAAAGUGCAUAUUCAUCUGUAUUUCUGGACUGACCUUUAGAAAAUUUGGUCUAUAAUCUUUGGCCUUAUUGCCAGUGUUGAGAGAUAGUAACUAUUUAACUUAAGUAAGUUUAAAGUAGAAUUUGUUUCAUUGAAUUACGAAGUUAUAACACCAUGUGAUUUAGUAUGUUUAUUCCCUUUGUGUAGCUUUGCUUGCUUAACAUCAGUAGCUUUGAAGCAUUGUUUUAGGAAUGUCAUUAUGAAAUAGAUGGAAGGAAAUAGGAAACUUUCCAUCUUGGUUAUAGAAACAGAUUAAAAGUUCUUUUGUAAAAUCCUAGUUGUUUCACUAUUUGUGCUAGUUUUACCUGGAAUGUACUUAAGUUUUUUCACAGUAGUUUGUAAGGGGCUGUAUUUUGAUUGGUAACAGAAACAGUACAUGGAUAUUUUGGUUUUUUAUUGAGAAGGGCUUGCAGAAAUCCAAGAGCUUUUUCUGCUUCUCUCUCCAUCCUACAAGUGAACAAGGAAGGAAUUGAGAGGGGACUCAGCAGGAACAUGAUACUCCAGACCAGGUGAUACCACGUUAAGCAGUGAAGUGGGGGGAGAUGAAGGGAGACAAGAAGGACAUUCAGGGGGGUGGCAUUUUCCUCCCAAGUCAUCAUUAUGUGAAGGAGCCCUGUUUUCCUGGGAAUGGCUGAACACCUGCCUGCCCAUGGGAAGGGAACUAAUUCCUUGUUUUGCUUUGCUUGCACAUUAACCUAUUAAACUGUUUUUAUCUGUAUCCAGGAGUUUUCUCAGCAUUACCCAUCCGAUUCUCUCCUCCGUCCCACAGGGAGCAGUGAGCAAGAGGCUGUGUGGGGUUCAGCUGCUGGCUGGGGUUGCACCAUGACAGUGCCCUUGAUCUACAUGGGUAUGAAUGGAGGUUCCUCAGUUCUCCAUUCCUGAAGACUUAAAAUUUUUUGCAAGUCAUAGUUCUCAUUGCAACCACUUUAUUAUUUAGUUCUUCAUGUGAUUCUCAUGGUUGAAUGGAGGCUGUGAUUCUCAUGACUAAAUCUCAGUUCCAGGGCACUUCAAGAGGAAACGGGAAGAUUAAUUUCACUAUUCUGAUGAAUAUUUGGGUGAUAUACACUAUGAAUUUUCUGUUUGCAGGGGUAGUUUGCUUCUUCUUAUUUUUUCUGCAGAUAUAAUCAUCUGAUGCUCAAAUGUCACCUUAAAGUUCUACUUUGCUGGAAGGAAAAAAGCAUAAAUAUGACACACGAUCACAUGAUUUCAACCCAUUGAAUUGCCACAGUUUAGAUUCUACUUCUACAAUGACCUGCCUGUGUGUUGACAACACACAGUAUGUAUACUUGGAAGUGCUUAGCAGUCAGGGUCUCUUGUAUGGCUGUAAUCUUAACUGCAGAGCUCUCAUUACAGCAAGGGAAAUAAUUGAAUGGUUUCAUUCAUGUUUUGUCCAAAAUAACAUCUAGGUGUGUUUUGGUAGUGGUAACCUUAUUCCCAAAGGUAGAAGGCAAAGUUUGGAGAUUCUGUUCCUUAUCUAAUAUAAGGUAUCAAUCUGAAAGAUCUUCAAAAUAACCAGUGGUUGUUUUUUUUUUUUUUUGUUUGUCAGUAACUAAUAAAUCCUGGAACUUUUAAACAUGUUGUAUGGUCUGCCUGCAGAUGGCAGUAUUUGGUUUGGAAGUAGAAAUCCUGGCGAGAAAUGCAGUUUGGAUCCUGUUUUAGUAUUCAUCAUACCAUGGCACCUAAGUGACAGCCUGUCAAUAAUUAAAGGGAAGGUAGGAGAAGAGAGGCUGAAUGUUUCACAGUCUUCUGAUCUGCCAUAAUUUUUCCUUCUCUCUUAACAUAAAGAUUCUUUAGUAAGUGUGUAGUAAUGAUCUAUUUUGAGGCAUUACAACAUUUACAUUCAAGACUCCAGAAAUCCUUACAUAGGAAAUCCCUAAUUUAAUUUUUUUUUUCUUUUUAAUAAAUUGCCAGUUAAGAUUUGCCCUUCCAUGAAGUGACGAAGAUAAAAAUAUCAGCACUAUCAUGUUUUCAUUUCACAGUUUUUGUUUGAUCAUACAUUCAAUUUACAGUACUUAAAAAACAUUUUUUAUCCAGGUAUUUCAAGGUUAGCUAUGAACCACCAUAUUUAAGUUAAAAUUUUAUGCAGCUACAAAAGGGCUGCAAUCUUAGGAAAAAAAUAAGGAGACAACUUACUCAUUAUUCUCUCUAGAAUUUCUUUCAUUAAUUCACAGAAUAAUUACAGUUGCCUUGUAGAAAAUUUCUUUACAGGAGCAUAAUGUGAAAAAUCAUGUGUCAACAAACCAACAAACAAGCAGAAAUCAAAAUAGAAGUUAUCUUAAACAGAAAUCUUGGGCUAGUCUUAUUUUCAAUGUAUUUGUGGAAAUCCUGUCUGUAUUAUGCAUGUGUGCUUUUUUCGCCGUUCCAAGUAAUUAAUUUUAAAGGGUUACAUGAGCAUAAGAACCUCUUUUUGUUGCUUUGAUUAAAGACUGCGCAAUACUCCCGAGGUCCGUACAACUCAUAAGUAGAUAUAAUAACUACAAUUCUCCUGGCUGCUAACAGCCUUGAGAAAUUAGUUUCUGGUAAUAUGAUAACCUUUUACUAUUUAUGAUAGUUGCUUCCAAAGUAGAAUUGUGAUUCUCAAACUGGAGUUUGAGUCUUGCAAGAUCAGAAGAAUGGUAACUAGUGGGGUUCCAUAGGACUCUGUCUUAAGUCCUGUGUUCUUCAACAUCUUCAUAAUUUACUUGGACAAAGGAUUUGAAGGUACUCUAAGUUUACAGAUGAUACAAAAUAGGGAGGAACUUCUGACUCUCUCAAAGGUGUUGAGGCCCUGUAGAGAGACCUCAAUAAAUUGGAGAGAUAGGCAAUCACCAGUUUGGUGGAGUUUGACAAGGCCAAGUACUGGAUUUUACACCUGGGAUGGGUCAACCCUAGCUGUACAGACAGACUGAGGAAUGAGAGGCUGGAGAGCAGCACUGUGGAGAGGGACCUGGGUGUCCUGGUCAGUGGCAAGCUGGAUGUGAGUCAGCAGUGCCCUGGCAGCCAGGAGGGCCAACCCUGUCCUGGAGAUACCAGGCACAGCAUCGCCAGCUGGGAAAGGGAAGGGAUUGUCCUGCUCUACUCUGGGAUGGGGUGGCCUCACCUCAAGUCCUGAGGGCAGUUUUGGGUGUAUUGAUGUGCAAAGGUUAUAAAGCUAUUAAAAAGUGUCAAAAAGAGGGUCGUGAAGAUAGUGGUCUAGACAGGAAGGCAUAGGAGGAGCAGCUGAGGUCACUUGCUCUGUUCAUCCCGGAGGACACUGCGGGGAGACCUCACUGGGGCCUUCAACAUCCUCCAACAUGCAAAGGGGAAGAGGAGGGGCAGACACUGAUCUCUCCUCCCGGGUGCCCAGUGACAGCAACCAAGAGAAUGGCCUGAAGUUGUGCCAAGGGAAACGUACAAUAGACACAGGAAAAAGGUUUUUCACUCAGGGGGUGUUUGGGCACUGGAACAGUAAUUAAGAGUUUAUUAAAGUACUUUAAAGGCAUUAGAAAAGAUGGGAGGAACUUUUUAAAACUGGGAAGUUUUUUUAGGGGAUGACUACCAAGCAGGAUUCAUACAUGUACUUUGAAAAACAAGCAAACAAACAAACCAGCUACGUCACACCCAUGCCAUUGCUGUUUCUGCCAUAAACUUCUAAGGAAGAGGAGCAGGAAAAUUACAUUGUAGGAAAAUUAGAUUGCAGGCAGGCACAGACAAAGAAUACAAUCUGUCUAGGUAUAGAAUGUCUAAAUAUGGAAGUAGAUGCUACAACCUUCUGAGAACAGUACCUCCUAAGGUAAGAGUCUCUGGGUUUUUUUUCAAUAAAAAUAAGAUUCUCUGGGGUUUUUUUAAAAUAAAAGUAAGUGGGAAAGGUUAAAGUAUUCUGUCUUGAUAGCCCCCAAGAUAGCAAGUAAGGAGUUCAUGCUAACUUUCCAUUAAGAUUGAUGUUUGAAUAAUCACUUACAUAGAAUAUUUGUAAGAAUCUUUAUGAUAAAUUUAUAAAUUAAUAACAUCAUUCAGUAAUGAUAUCUCUUCCUAUCUGGACUAUUCUUCCUCUCUCUGUCCUACCCACAAAUGUUUGUUUCAAGCAGCCAAACAAUAGAAUGGCUAAAAAUAGAUGAUUCAUACUGCCAUAUUAUUCUGCCUAGUUAGAGUCUGUCUAUUAGGAUGAUGGCAUGAACUUAAAACCUUGGCAGAUAUAUGUAUAUAUAUUAAAUAUAAUCGAAAUUUUAUGAAAUAUUUUUGAAAAGGUAGUCUUUGUUGGAACAUUUUUUGAGCAGUGCCAGCUCCCUUCUGUCUUUGCCUUUGAAGAAAAACUGGGGCCUUUGCCAGAAUUUGUGUUAACUACUGCUGGCAGAAACCUACAGACAAACUUGCCCUUUUUUUGGAAGUAGCAGCUGCAGCACCAACAUUUCAGAGAAAUCAUAUCCCUCAGUAACCUCUUAAGGUUUCCUCACCUUGCUCCUAUAAGAGGAAUUCUGUUAAACAUUAGUAAUCCUGCAAAAUGCAUAUCCCUAAAAUUAAAGAAAUAUCUAGCAGGCAUAUGUAAAAAGUCAGGGAAGAUGAGAGGCACCUUGGCAGAUUAUAUUAAUGCUAUUGUUAGGACAGUUUCUGCAUAUUGCACAUAUUAGUAAGAGAGGAGAUAAUGUUAAAGAGUUGACCUAUACUGAUUGAAACACACAUAUCUUCCCCAUCAGUAUGCCAGGGAAAUGCAUGUGAUAUGCAUUAUGAGCUAGCCUAACUAGAAAAAAAAGAAUGCAUUUCUCUUUGGAUUCUAUGGUGUCCCAUGGCUGAGGGAUGGCAGAGAACAAAACUAGUUAAAUUAAAAAGUGCAUAAAGCAAGCUUUGUGUAUUUCAUGUGCACCUUUUAACCUUUCCUACCCGUGUGUUUUCAAAGAGAGGUAGAAAUUGUUUAAAGAUAUCAAGGCUCUGCCUUAGCACAGAAUUGUCCCAGCUGUUGCAAUAGUGCACUCAGGUUGUUGAAUGUUGGAUAGACGUUCCCAGCUCAUUAGGUUUUAUGCACAUACAAGGUCCAGCAAAGCUCUUUGGGACUUUGGGUUGUAAGGUCAAGUCCUGAAUUAUGUACUGCAACAGUUCUCCUGCACUAGAAGUUUAAAUGGGGGAUCUUGCCACAAAAGUGCCUCGAGUGUGUAGGGACCAAUAGAGACAGCUGUGCACAUGUGCCUCCUAUGCUCCACAUGGGACUGGCAGAAGCGGCUGCUGAUUCACUUUCCAGAUGUAUUUGUCUAACAAUAUCUGGCAUGUGGGCAUGGAGUGAAAAGAGCCUGUGAUGCAGCUGCCUGGCAUUAAUUUUGGCUGUCUGUGCCUGGUAAAUGGGAUACCAGGCUGGGAGAAAGCCUGUAAUGCUGCUUUCAAGGAACUGAACAGGACCACAGCCCUCUCCCCCACCUGUGAAUCAACAUGCUGUAAAAGAUAUGCUCUUUUUGCUGCUUAGGCUCGACUUCUUGGUCAGAGAUGUACUGUGCACUUGUCUACAUGUGUACUUGUCUACUCAUGUUUAAAUAUAUAAGGGAGAAUCUGUGGAGAAAAAAAAAUAUUGUGAGGCUUCAUAUAGAAUAAAGAAACAAUGAGAUAGAAAUAAGUGAGCAUUUGAAAAGCUUUUCUCCAAGUAUAAAAACAUGGAAAGUUUAGCUUGUUGAUACAGAAUUCUUUAUAAGAAAAAAAAAUCCACACAACAACUGUCUGAAAAUGUUAUAUAGAAAAUGUUAUUCUUGCUUUAACUGCUCAGGGUGUUGCAGACACCUUGAAAAGUUCUUUAGGUGCUUCAGAGGAUUCUUGAAAACUGGUGCCCAUUGUAGAUCUUGAUCACUUGGGAAAAACAUUUAGCCUUGAGUCUAACUCAGGUUUUGAAAGUGUGUCUUGGGCAUACAAACCCAGACCAUCAAAGUACCUAAGAAAAUAAAUAAAUCUGUUUUUUCACUGUCCAUAUAAAUGAAGAUGUAUUCUUUUAUCCAUCUGAACCUUGCUAGGCAGUGUCUGCUUUCUUCUAAAUGUACAUUUAAUACUCUUGUUGCAAUCUAAAAGGAGAGUAUACUCCUCUUCUGCCUGUGUGUGUUGCAGGAAACUGUCCAGUCUGCAGGCAAAUAUCAGUCAGAGGAUUCAGAUCCAUUUUGUAAUACAAGGGGGAAACUGUGUGGUGUGGCUGUGGUGGUUGCAGGAAGUUUCAUGCUAUUAUAGGAAAUUGGUAGCAAAAUAACUUCAUGUCAGUUUUUGCAAGAACUAGAGCAUAUGUUACCUAAUUCUUCAGAAUGACAUGACUUCUGAAAUUUAGUAUUUAUUCAUCUUAUUCUCAGAAACAUGCACUACCUUUUUGCAAAGUGGGAUUAUUUAGAAGUAAAGGCACAAAUUGCUUGUCACAUACAAUAUUCCUUUAAUGCUUGAGAAGCACUCUCUCAGCUGCAGUUAAUUUGGACAGUUGUACCUAAUAUUCAUUAAUUAAAAAUCUGUAUUCCCUGUAGAUUUUCUUGUGUCUUAUUCUCCACUUCAUGUCUCAACAUAAAUUUGCGUUGGUUAUGAUUAUAUUCCCUGGUAAAUCUUCAGACUGAAGUUCUUUACUCAUGUAAAUGCUUUGGUCAUUAUAUAUGUGUUUUAAAUGAGCUAAGUCACUUUCAGUAUAAUUAAAAUGGCCUUUUGCUCUUCCAGAACACAUUGUGCACUGACAAGUCUUUGAAAAGAAAACAUACUAUUUUAACAUCUAAGGUGCCUUAGAUGUAUCAUGACAACUUCUGUACAGGUGCUAGCAGUAGAUUUUAUUUCUGUGUGAAAUAAAGUUGUAUCAGUUGGACAAAGUCUAGUUAUGUUGAAUGAGGUACAAAUGAUGGAGGGACUGGUAGGAACAGCUUGGUGAAGCUGUGGUUUCAAAAAUAAGAGAACCAUAACCUAGAGUAAAGAUCAAAAUAAAGGUGCACUUGGCCUGUG